rnacentral:rRNA from 1 species
AACGAACGCUGGCGGCAGGCUUAACACAUGCAAGUCGAACGCAUCGCAAGAUGAGUGGCAGACGGGUGAGUAACGCGUGGGAACAUACCCUUUUCUACGGAAUAGCUCUGGGAAACUGGAAUUAAUACCGUAUACGCCCUACGGGGGAAAGAUUUAUCGGGGAAGGAUUGGCCCGCGUUGGAUUAGCUAGUUGGUGGGGUAAAGGCCUACCAAGGCGACGAUCCAUAGCUGGUCUGAGAGGAUGAUCAGCCACAUUGGGACUGGGACACGGCCCAAACUCCUACGGGAGGCAGAAGUGGGGGAUAUAGGACAAUGGGCGCAAGCCUGAUCCAGCCAUGCAGCGUUAGUGAUGAAGGCCUUAGGGUUGUAAAGCUCUUUCACCGAUGAAGAUAAUGACGGUAGUCGGAGAAGAAGCCCCGGCUAACUUCGUGCCAGCCGCCGCCGUAACAC